CCUACGGGUGGCAGCAGUGAGGAAUAUUGGUCAAUGGGCGCGAGCCUGAACCAGCCAAGUAGCGUGAAGGAUGACUGCCCUACGGGUUGUAAACUUCUUUUAUAAAGGAAUAAAGUGAGGCACGUGUGCCUUUUUGCAUGUACUUUAUGAAUAAGGAUCGGCUAACUCCGUGCCAGCAGCCGCGGUAAUACGGAGGAUCCGAGCGUUAUCCGGAUUUAUUGGGUUUAAAGGGAGCGUAGAUGGCAUAGUAAGUCUGUUGUAAAAAUGUUGGGCUCAACCCAAAAGGGCAAAUGAUACUGGAAGGCUAGAGUAUGACUGAGGCAGGUGGAACUAGUGGUGUAGCGGUGAAAUGCUUAAAUAUCAGGAAGAACCCCGAUGGCGAAGGCAGCUUACUAAGUCGAUACUGACAUUGAGGCACGAAAGCGUGGGGAGCAAACAGGAUUAGAUACCCUGGUAGUC
rnacentral:rRNA from 1 species